rnacentral:rRNA from 1 species
CCUACGGGGGGCAGCAGUGGGGAAUAUUGGGCAAUGGGCGCAAGCCUGACCCAGCAACGCCGCGUGAAGGAAGAAGGCUUUCGGGUUGUAAACUUCUUUUGUCAGGGAAGAGUAGAAGACGGUACCUGACGAAUAAGCCACGGCUAACUACGUGCCAGCAGCCGCGGUAAUACGUAGGUGGCAGGCGUUGUCCGGAUUUACUGGGUGUAAAGGGCGUGUAGCCGGGUUGACAAGUCAGAUGUGAAAUCCUGCGGCUUAACCGCAGAACUGCAUUUGAAACUGUUGAUCUUGAGUACUGGAGAGGCAGACGGAAUUCCGAGUGUAGCGGUGAAAUGCGUAGAUAUUAUGAGGAACACCAGUGGCGAAGGCGGUCUGCUGGACAGCAACUGACGGUGAGGCGCGAAAGCGUGGGGAGCAAACAGGAUUAGAUACCCGAGUAGUC